rnacentral:rRNA from 1 species
AGGAAGUAAAAGUCGUAACAAGGUUUCCGUAGGUGAACCUGCGGAAGGAUCAUUAUCGAGUUUGAAAGGAGUUGAUGCUGGCCUUCCGAGGCAUGUGCUCGCUCCUGUCAGAUCCAACUCAACACCUGUGCACAUCAGAGGGCGCGAGUGGUCUGUCCCUUGCCAACGGGCCUCGAUUCCUCCGCGGGUCGAGGCUUGGAGGGGUGGAUCCUGGCGACCUCCUUCGCAUCACAAACUCUUGAACGUAUCCAGAACGUGUAGCAGCCCUCGUGUGGGGCAGUCUUAAUUACAACUUUCAACAACGGAUCUCUUGGCUCUCGCAUCGAUGAAGAACGCAGCGAAAUGCGAUAAGUAAUGUGAAUUGCAGAAUUCAGUGAAUCAUCGAAUCUUUGAACGCACCUUGCGCUCCUUGGUAUUCCGAGGAGCAUGCCUGUUUGAGUGUCGUGAAGUCUUCAACUUUGUCUCGCUUUGAAAAUUGCGAGGCGAGGCUUGGAUUUGGGGGUUGUUGGCCUCUUGCCUCCCUUGCCGGGGGCUUGAGGGAGGUCGACUCCUCUGGAAUGCAUUAGCUCGAGGUUGGCUUCGGGCGGUCCGUGGCGUGAUAGGUUUUUGUUACGUCUCGGUAAUUCCGUCUCGGAGCCGUGUGGCUUCGGCUUCGAAUCGUCCCUCUUGGGGACUGACUCCAUCUUGAAUCUGACCUCAAAUCAGGCAGGACUACCCGCUGAACUUAAGCAUAUC